rnacentral:rRNA from 1 species
AUGGUUAAGUUAGAAAGGGCGCACGGUGAAUGCCUUGGCACUAGGAGCCGAUGAAGGACGGGACUAACACCGAUAUGCUUCGGGGAGCUGUAAGUGAGCUUUGAUCCGGAGAUUUCCGAAUGGGGAAACCCACUGUUCGUAAUGGAACAGUAUCUUUAUCUGAAUACAUAGGAUAUUGAAGGCAGACCCGGGGAACUGAAACAUCUAAGUACCCGGAGGAAGAGAAAGCAAAUGCGAUUUCCUGAGUAGCGGCGAGCGAAACGGAAUUAGCCCAAACCAAGAGGCUUGCCUCUUGGGGUUGUAGGACACUCUAUACGGAGUUACAAAGGAACGAAGUAAAUGAAGCGACCUGGAAAGGUCCGUCGAAGAAGGUAACAACCCUGUAGUUGAAACUUCGUUCCCUCUUGAGUGGAUCCUGAGUACGGCGGAACACGUGAAAUUCCGUCGGAAGCUGGGAGGACCAUCUCCCAAGGCUAAAUACUACCUAGUGACCGAUAGUGAACCAGUACCGUGAGGGAAAGGUGAAAAGCACCCCGGAAGGGGAGUGAAAGAGAUCCUGAAACCGUGUGCCUACAAGUAGUCAGAGCCCGUUAACGGGUGAUGGCGUGCCUUUGUAGAAUGAACCGGCGAGUUACGAUCCCAUGCAAGGUUAAGCUGAUAAGGCGGAGCCGUAGCGAAAGCGAGUCUGAAUAGGGCGUUUAGUAUGUGGUUGUAGACCCGAAACCAGGUGAUCUACCCAUGUCCAGGGUGAAGUUCAGGUAACACUGAAUGGAGGCCCGAACCCACGCACGUUGAAAAGUGCGGGGAUGAGGUGUGGGUAGCGGAGAAAUUCCAAUCGAACCUGGAGAUAGCUGGUUCUCUCCGAAAUAGCUUUAGGGCUAGCCUCAUGUUGUGAGAGUCUUGGAGGUAGAGCACUGAUUGGACUAGGGGCCCCCAACGGGUUACCGAAUUCAGUCAAACUCCGAAUGCCAAAGACUUAUCCAUGGGAGUCAGACUGCGAGUGAUAAGAUCCGUAGUCAAAAGGGAAACAGCCCAGACCACCAGCUAAGGUCCCCAAGUAUACGUUAAGUGGAAAAGGAUGUGGAGUUGCUUAGACAACCAGGAUGUUGGCUUAGAAGCGUACCACCAUUUAAAGAGUGCGUAAUAGCUCACUGGUCGAGUGACUCUGCGCCGAAAAUGUACCGGGGCUAAACGUAUCACCGAAGCUGUGGAUUGACAUCUUUGAUGUCAGUGGUAGGAGAGCGUUCUAAGUGCGGCCGAAGUCAGACCGUAAGGACUGGUGGAGCGCUUAGAAGUGAGAAUGCCGGUAUGAGUAGCGAAAGACAAGUGAGAAUCUUGUCCACCGAAUGCCUAAGGUUUCCUGAGGAAGGCUCGUCCGCUCAGGGUUAGUCGGGACCUAAGCCGAGGCUGAAAAGCGUAGGCGAUGGCCAACAGGUUGAUAUUCCUGUACCACCUCCCCGCCGUUUGAGUAAUGGGGGGACGCAGUAGGAUAGGGUAAGCGCGGCCGCUGGAUAUGCGCGUUCAAGCAGUUAGGCUGAUGAGUAGGCAAAUCCGCUCAUCAUAAAGGCUGAGCUGUGAUGACGAGGGAAUUAUAGUACCGAAGUUCCUGAUUCCACACUGCCAAGAAAAGCCUCUAGCGAGGCGGGAGGUGCCCGUACCGCAAACCGACACAGGUAGGCGAGGAGAGAAUCCUAAGGUGAUCGAGAGAACUCUCGUUAAGGAACUCGGCAAAAUGACCCCGUAACUUCGGGAGAAGGGGUGCUCUGGUAGGGUGUAUAGCCCGAGAGAGCCGCAGUGAAUAGGCCCAGGCGACUGUUUAGCAAAAACACAGGUCUCUGCGAAGCCGCAAGGCGAAGUAUAGGGGCUGACGCCUGCCCGGUGCUGGAAGGUUAAGAGGAGGGGUUAUCCUUUGGGAGAAGCUCUGAAUCGAAGCCCCAGUAAACGGCGGCCGUAACUAUAACGGUCCUAAGGUAGCGAAAUUCCUUGUCGGGUAAGUUCCGACCCGCACGAAAGGCGUAACGAUCUGGGCACUGUCUCAACGAGAGACUCGGUGAAAUUAUAGUACCUGUGAAGAUGCAGGUUACCCGCGACAGGACGGAAAGACCCCGUGGAGCUUUACUGUAGCCUGAUAUUGAAUUUUGGUACAGCUUGUACAGGAUAGGUAGGAGCCUGAGAAGCCGGAGCGCUAGCUUCGGUGGAGGCGUCGGUGGGAUACUACCCUGGCUGUAUUGAAAUUCUAACCCGCGGCCCUGAUCGGGCCGGGAGACAGUGUCAGGUGGGCAGUUUGACUGGGGCGGUCGCCUCCUAAAAUGUAACGGAGGCGCCCAAAGGUUCCCCUCAGAAUGGUUGGAAAUCAUUCGUAGAGUGUAAAGGCACAAGGGAGCUUGACUGCGAGACCUACAAGUCGAGCAGGGACGAAAGUCGGGCUUAGUGAUCCGGUGGUUCCGCAUGGAAGGGCCAUCGCUCAACGGAUAAAAGCUACCCCGGGGAUAACAGGCUUAUCUCCCCCAAGAGUCCACAUCGACGGGGAGGUUUGGCACCUCGAUGUCGGCUCAUCGCAUCCUGGGGCUGUAGUCGGUCCCAAGGGUUGGGCUGUUCGCCCAUUAAAGCGGUACGCGAGCUGGGUUCAGAACGUCGUGAGACAGUUCGGUCCCUAUCCGUCGUGGGCGUAGGAAAUUUGAGAGGAGCUGUCCUUAGUACGAGAGGACCGGGAUGGACACACCGCUGGUGUACCAGUUGUCUUGCCAAAGGCAUCGCUGGGUAGCUAUGUGUGGACGGGAUAAGUGCUGAAAGCAUCUAAGCAUGAAGCCCCCCUCAAGAUGAGAUUUCCCAUAGCGCAAGCUAGUAAGAUCCCUGAAAGAUGAUCAGGUUGAUAGGUCAGAGGUGGAAGCGUGGCGACAUGUGUAGCUGACUGAUACUAAUCGAUCGAGGACUUAACCAAAC